rnacentral:lncRNA from 1 species
UCUCGUUUCCAGUGCCCUAAACAAGUGUAAUUUGACAAAUUUACAUGUAAACAUUAAGGAGUGAGGAAGUUAAAACGAUACCAAUCGAGUUUUAGAGCUUUGGUGACCAUUUUAAAAGAAUAUAUGAUAAAUUCAAAGGUAAGUCUAUCGUAUUGCAUUGUCUUAAAUGAAUUCUCAGCUAAAAUACGGCAAUAAAUGGAUCAUAAACUUAGCUAAAUUUACUGUUGACAACGAGGUUGACAGAUCCAUUGCUUUUUUGCCUUGAAUAGCUUUACCAUAGUCAUUUUACCUUAAAAUGUAGCUACCGAGGAUAUCUCUAAGAGAUUUUACACAGAUUAUUUGCACAAUCUCACGAUUUAAUCAUGCUGAUAACAUGAAAAUCCUUGUGCCAUUCUAUACUUGGCAUAAUCUCUACAUCAAUAGUUCACCAGUUCACUAAUAUAAAUUCAAUAUAUUUUUGAACCAGUCCAUAUAUUAUUAUACACAAUGUAGUAUAGUUAAUUUGACCAUACUUGAGAAGUAAGGGUGUAUUUCAUUACACAGACACUGCUGAAUUUUAGGUUACAUGCCAUUGGAUUGAUAUAUAAAAAACACUUGUAAAACACACACAUUAUCUUGUUGAUAGAAUAGUUAUUUGCAGUAUACUAACUGUUGGCAUACUCUAUUUCAGGACUAUCAAUUGUUUUUGUCACUGGCAGUCUUUGAAAUACAAUCUUGCUCUGUGGCCUUUACUGACAAGUUGGCUUUUACUACAUAUGUGGCACUGACACUUCUUUAAUUAAUGCACCAGUCAAUGUAAACCCCCCAACCAGGGAGGGGCAGGGAUUUUGACUUGGAGGGGUAGUAAAAAAGCGAAAUUGUCCCCGCCCCCAGGGACGUCAAUGUCCCCUGCAUGUCUCUUAACCCCAGGAAAAUAGUUUUGUAUAAUCAUAGAUCAGCAAUAGAAAAUCAAAUUCAUUUAUGUUGUUGUAUUUAAACUUUUCUUGUCAAGAAAACUAAAACAGCAACACAGGAUAUAUAUGUUAACCACUGUCAAGUCUCCCAUCAUCGGGGACAAAUUUAUAAUCAAAACUGACCACUUUCCCUGUUAAACCUUCCGCCCCUCCCCGGUUGGGGGCAGGGAUUUACAUUGACUGGUGCAUAACUAGAUGAUUGCAUGAAGCAUUGCAUGGAAGUUGAUUUAUAAUUAGUUUAUGAAUAAACUCACACUUUCAUUAUAAUGGUUGAUCAAAUAUAUCAUAUGCAUUUGAUUGGUUGAUGGUCCCUUAAUGGUAAUGGUAGUCAAAUCUGAACCUAUAUAAUGUCAAUAUACUGGAAAAGUAUCAAAUUAAAUUUUAAUUGUCAAUGUUGUGGGA